CCCCCGCAGAGAUGUCAUUCAUUCUUACACGGGAGGCACUUUGCAGGUUUGACGUCAGAGAAACAACUGGCCUAAUGUGAUGGAGGCUCUUGUGAAAUCCUCACCGUCAGCACGGAAAUAGCCGGAGAAGAGGAUAAUAAGAUAUCAGUGUGUUUAAGGAGAACAUGCUGAACCGAGAAAACUGUCAUCCAGAUGAGAAACAAAUACAGAUCCAAAGACACGAUGAGCAAGUGGAAGAAAAAACAUCUGAACAAAACCGCAGGAACAAAAAUGAGACCUAAAUGAGACAAAAAGAAUAACAAGUGGAAUAAUAUUAAUAUUAUUUUAAUGACUGUACGUUGAUUCUAUUUGUAAGCACUUAUUAUUG